ACAACCGACACCCCGAAAGAAAGUGUUAACUUACUCACGGAGGACGGUAGAACAGUCGUUACGUGGUGGCGAAAGCUCGCGUUUGGCAGGUACAGCUUUACUGAAGGUGUUAUCCAAUUCAGACAGACGACGAAGACAGAACUGAUUCAGCAACAUCAACAACAUGGAAAAAGAAAUCAAAGAAUGCUGUGUAUGAAAACGUCCCAAAAAAGCGAUGAUUGAAUACCACAUCUACAGAAAUUAAUGCUACAGCUCACGCAGGGCAAUAGCACAUGUAUUCACCGUUUUGUCUGUUUUGUUUUUAUUGUGAUGUUUAGCAUUUGUUGCUCUGUAUUACUGUAAUAGUGGCAUUCAACAAUUAUAAACUAAAGUAUUAUAUUUAUA